rnacentral:rRNA from 1 species
GACGUAGGGCGCGAGCGUGUCCGGAUUUAUUGGGCGUAAAGAGCUCGUAGGCGGCUCGUCGCGUCGACCGUGAAAACCCGCGGCUAACUGCGGGCUUGCGGUUGAUACGGGCGGGCUAGAGUUCGGUAGGGGAGACUGGAAUUCCUGGUGUGAGCGGCUGAAAUGCGUAGAUAUCUGGAGGAACACCGGUGGCGAAGGCGGCAUCCUGGACCGGUAUUGACGCUGAGGAGCGAAAGCGUGGGGGAGCGAACAGG